GCAGAGGGUGGUGGGGAGUUGCACCAAGGGCUCCGCGGUGCUGUGUAACUGUGGAGCUCCAGAGCCAUGGUGUUGACAAAAUCAUGUGCACAGGGGCCAGCUGACUCCAU